rnacentral:rRNA from 1 species
AUGGCACGCUCACCCUCCCCUAUGGCAGCGACGAGGCCGUCCUCUGGCUCGGAGGACCUAUCUGCAUGGGCCCGCCGGCAGCGGCCAGAGCAGCAAAAUUGCCGUGGCAGGCGUCGUGGCUGGCCUCGAGCCCUUAGCGAGUCCUUGGUCUGGUCUUUGCCAGCGCCGCUGGGCUUAAGCGCGGAGGAGGAGGCUCGGGUGAGCGGCGACUUCGCGUCCGGGGCGCCGUGCGGUACAUCAAGGACCUCGGCAUGGCACUGGAGCCUGGAGGUCGCUGACGUCCAGGAGGAGGAGGCCGGUCUGUAUCCAGGUUUGUACCGGCAGUCCGGCAGAUGUUCUCGGCCAUGGAGGCGAACCGCAACGGCGGCGUGUAUGGACUGGUCAUCAUCGUCGAACGCCUGA